UUGGGUCAUUUAGAGGAAGUAAAAGUCGUAACAAGGUUUCCGUAGGUGAACCUGCGGAAGGAUCAUUAGAGAGAGCUCCGGCUCCUUUCAUGCCAUAACCAAACUGAUGUUCUCUUCUUUGUUGCUUCCACCCUCUGCGGCAGGCACGGUAAAAAAUGCUUGCUCAAAGGGGGUGGGGGGAUUUUUUCACAACCAUAUUUGUUAUUGAGCCCGAGUUUUUGUCUGAAUCAGAGGGAAAUUGCUUCAAAACUUUCAACAACGGAUCUCUUGGCUCCUGCAUCGAUGAAGAACGCAGCGAAAUGCGAUAACUAAUGUGAAUUGCAGAAUUCCGUGAAUCAUCGAGUCUUUGAACGCACAUUGCGCCCCAUGGUAUUCCGUGGGGCAUGCCCGUCUCAGCGUCAGUGAAACCCAUCAACUCCUUGCUUAUUGUGAGAGGUUGGAUAAAGUCAGGGAAGCCGUGGCCGUAAAAAGCCACGGCUCUUUGAAAAUUCAUGGAUGUUCAAGCCACCACGCAUGGAACGUGAUGAUGAUUCUUUCGUUCUAAAGCGGUUGGCUUGAGUCGUCACAAAACUCACAUGCCAUCGGCAUAUUACAGCAUUUGACCUGAGAUCGGGUAGGGAUACCCGCUGAACUUAAGCAUAUCAAUAAGC
rnacentral:rRNA from 1 species